rnacentral:tRNA from 1 species
GCCGGCAUGGUGUAUUGGUUUGAGUGUUGGACUACCACUCUGGAGAUCAGGGUUCAAUUCCCUGCUCAGCCA